GCGAAGUCUCGGGCUCGAGAGGAGAGGUCCGCGUUAAGUGGCCGGCCAGUGGCGGGCUACUGAAGAAGAACGUCGGGCAGGGAUCCCCUCCUGCCGCAGCGGAGGUUGGAAGACUGGGCAAGAAAACAUGGUUUGGGGGCCGGACUCGGAAGCAAAGGUGAUAGGGACACAGGGAGAGGCUGAGGGAGAAGAUUGUGGCUUGAGAGUAAGGAGAGACUGAAACUGCCUUGUAAACCGCAGGGCAGGUGCUGAGGGUCGUGGUGGUGGGCUCAUACUCUGGGGAUUGGGGAAGCACUCGGGUCAGAAAGGAGACUUUGAGGUGAGAAGGGAGUCAGCUGAAUAGAAAGAAGACAGAAAUCGGAAUCAGGCUACCCCAGAACAGAAUGGUCUUCCCUUCUAACUUGUAACCCUUUCCUAAGGCUUGGGCUGGGCUCAGAGCAUCCUAUACCCAAUGCAGUGGAGUUAAUACUAGCCACUGCUCUAACAGAUGGAGGGGCUGUCCCUUUCCUAAACCUCUUUCAACUUGGUUAUUUCCUCCUUUUCCUAUUUCUUCUUGUUGUUGUUGUUGCUGUUUUUAUUUCUUUGUUGUUCCUUUCUAGGUAGAGGGAGGCAUAGUUUUUGGCAAUAGCCAGCCAAGGAUACAGGGAACAGGUGCAGCGCCUGCACGCUGACUUCACGUGGUGGAUGCCUGGCUGAGAGAGAAGUAGGAAACCCUAACAACGCUUCUUCCAGCUUUGAUCUGCCUGGGGGAGCCCGUGGUGGAAGAUGACUCUGUAGCCCUGGUGUCUCCCAGCAUCCGGAGUGGGAGCCCCAAGAGCCAUGUAGACAGGCACCCAGCACUGUGCCAGCUAUGUGGGAGUUGGCUGGCUCUGGGGACGAGCUGUUGGCAGUGCAGGUGGCUGGCGACAAGGAUGGAGUGUGAGGCCUCGAGACAGGUUGGCAGGUAGCACAGAAGCCUCGGCACUCAGCAGAGCUGCGGUCCUGGCUGCUCUGAGGAUGGAGACCACAGGAGGACUUGGAAUCCUCUGGGAAUGGAGUUACAGCUGGUUGAGAGCCACGUGAGUGCUGGCAAUCAACCUUGGAACCUCUGGAAAGAGCAGCGAGUCAACCACGACCCAUCGACCCAUCGCUCGAGCCCCAUGUGGAGCACUGCUCAAGUCUGUUAACAUCACUGGGCCUGGUGGCAACGCAUAUCAGUCCUGCCUCAGCCCCCUGAAUGCAUGGUUACAGGUGUGCACCAUAGCACCUGACUCAAGUUUUAAACGUUCAUUUUGAGCACGCCUUCUCAUGAUCAUUUCCCUGUAAAUCAGCAGAGACACUGGGGAAUGGCUGCUGGAGUCUCCUUUACUGCCCCAUCUGUCUUGAACAAUACUAGGCUCUGUCUGUUCUUGUCUGCUUUUAGAGUGGGCUGAGCUGGUAACAUAAAGGAGCAACAGCUGAGUGGCGGUGAUGAAGCCUUUAAUCCCAACCCUC